rnacentral:rRNA from 1 species
CUUCCGUAGGGUGAACCUGCGGAAGGAUCAUUACCGAGUGUAGGGUUCCUAGCGAGCCCAACCUCCCACCCGUGUUUACUGUACCUUAGUUGCUUCGGCGGGCCCGCCAUUCAUGGCCGCCGGGGGCUCUCAGCCCCGGGCCCGCGCCCGCCGGAGACACCACGAACUCUGUCUGAUCUAGUGAAGUCUGAGUUGAUUGUAUCGCAAUCAGGUAAAACUUUCAACAAUGGAUCUCUUGGUUCCGGCAUCGAUGAAGAACGCAGCGAAAUGCGAUAACUAGUGUGAAUUGCAGAAUUCCGUGAAUCAUCGAGUCUUUGAACGCACAUUGCGCCCCCUGGUAUUCCGGGGGGCAUGCCUGUCCGAGCGUCAUUGCUGCCCAUCAAGCACGGCUUGUGUGUUGGGUCGUCGUCCCCUCUCCGGGGGGGACGGGCCCCAAAGGCAGCGGCGGCACCGCGUCCGAUCCUCGAGCGUAUGGGGCUUUGUCACCCGCUCUGUAGGCCCGGCCGGCGCUUGCCGAACGCAAAUCAAUCUUUUUCCAGGUUGACCUCGGAUCAGGUAGGGAUACCCGCUGAACUUAAGCAUAUCAAUAA